UUCCCGCUGUUGCCACCAAGGAGCGUCUCACUUUCACCCCCCUCCCCUCCAACCCCCCAUCCCCCCAGUCUCUCUCUGCUAGCCUCGGCGGAGAGAGUUGCAGUUCGCUCUGGGCCCGUGUGGAAUAGAGACACUGUUCUUCAUCUGACUGGCAGGAGAGGAAAGCGAAGACUCCUUGAGGUUUUCCAAAGAGGUCCGGGCUGGCUGCUUUAGGAAAACUUGAGGUGUCUUACACUUUUAAUCCUCCAGUCAGUGAUUGCCUUGGGAGCAUAUUGUGGUGAAUUGGUGGAAUAAAAGGAAACUGCUCUCCUGGCCUUUGAUAAUCUAGUUAAGUGGUUGACUGACAGAAUGUUGGUGCCAGCAUUGGAAGAAUUGAUCAGCCUCAA